AUUCGAUGCAGCACAUGUUUGGAUCAUCGACCUAUACCGAUAGUUUAAACGAAGGUGAAAUGAGAAGGACAACCUAUUUUAAUAUCGAAUCUGAGUAAAUAAAUGUUUCAUACCUAGUUAUGCAACUUUUUAAGUUUAAUGAAAAUUUAAUUAAAAAUGAAUAAAUUCAAUAUAAUAACAAGUACACUUUCAACGAGUUAUCUAAAUUAAUAACAAUACAAUUAUACAAAAGAAAAACUUGAAAUUUAACUGUACUAAUUACAGUUAAAAAUGAACGGCUAAGUUUCAAUCAAUAUAAAGCUUAUGGUGGCAAAGGGUAUAAACGUUAUUAAGCAUACACCACGGUAGUAAGAUGAAAUAUAUUAUGUCAGAAACACUUACCUUAAUCAGACAAAUCGGCUUAGACCGUCGGCUAUGAUUAACACACCUAGGGUAUAACGAGCUCAACAGGAGGCGGACACAUCUUCAUGGAUGGUUGGUAGUCCAAAACAUAAAAAUGCCUAAAAAUACUCAAAAUGAACUAUCCGAAAAGUU